rnacentral:rRNA from 1 species
GAUGAACGCUAGCGGCAGGCCUAACACAUGCAAGUCGAGGGGCAGCACAGGUAGCAAUACUGGGUGGCGACCGGCGGAUGGGUGCGUAACGCGUAUGCAACCUACCAUUGAUUGGGGCAUAGCCCGAAGAAAUUCGGAUUAAUACUCCAUAAUAUUCAUCAAAGGCAUCUUUUAUGAAUUAAAGCUUUUGCGAUCAAUGAUGGGCAUGCGUGACAUUAGUUAGUUGGUGAGGUAACGGCUCACCAAAACGAUGAUGUCUGGGGGUUCUGAGAGGAUUAUCCCCCACACUGGUACUGAGACACGGACCAGACUCCUACGGGAGGCAGCAGUGAGGAAUAUUGGUCAAUGGGCGGAAGCCUGAACCAGCCAUGCCGCGUGCAGGAUGACGGCCCUACGGGUUGUAAACUGCUUUUCCCCGGGGCGAAUAACCCCCUGCGAGGGGAGUGCCGGUACCGGGGAAGUAAGGAUCGGCUAACGUCCGUGCCAGCAGCCGCGGUAAACG